UACGUAGGGUCCAAGCGUUGUCCGGAAUUAUUGGGCGUAAAGAGCUCGUAGGCGGUGUGUCGCGUCGGAUGUGAAAGCCCGGGGCUUAACCCCGGGUCUGCAUUCGGUACGGGCAUGCUGGAGUUCGGUAGGGGAGACUGGAAUUCCUGGUGUAGCGGUGAAAUGCGCAGAUAUCAGGAGGAACACCGGUGGCGAAGGCGGUUCUCUGGGACGGUACUGACGCUGAGACGCGAAAGCGUGGGGAGCGAACAGG
rnacentral:rRNA from 1 species